GACGAACGCUGGCGGCGUGCCUAAUACAUGCAAGUUGAGCGAUGAAGAUUGGUGCUUGCACCAAUUUGAAGAGCAGCGAGCGGGUGAGUAACGCGUGGGGAAUCUGCCUUUGAGCGGGGGACAACAUUUGGGAACGAAUGCUAAUACCGCAUAACAACUUUAAACAUAAGUUUUAAGUUUGAAAGAUGCAAUUGCAUCACUCAAAGAUGAUCCCGCGUUGUAUUAGCUAGUUGGUGAGGUAAAGGCUCACCAAGGCGAUGAUACAUAGCCGACCUGAGAGGGUGAUCGGCCACAUUGGGACUGAGACACGGCCCAAACUCCUACGGGAGGCAGCAGUAGGGAAUCUUCGGCAAUGGACGAAAGUCUGACCGAGCAACGCCGCGUGAGUGAAGAAGGUUUUCGGAUCGUAAAACUCUGUUGGUAGAGAAGAACGUUGGUGAGAGUGGAAAGCUCAUCAAGUGACGGUAACUACCCAGAAAGGGACGGCUAACUACGUG
rnacentral:rRNA from 1 species